CGGCGUGGUCAUCGUGGGAAGACCACGAUGACCCAACUGAAGUCGGCACUCCUUGCCGACUUCAGUUCGGAUCUUCACAUUAGCUAAUCUAAGAAUUCAACCGAGACAUGGUUACAUUGGACUUGGAUUAGCUUGUCUAUAUAAUAUUGUAAAAAGCUCACGUUCAAACCGGAUAUUGGGCCACCAUAGGUAUUGAGAGUGCCACGAGAGGGUUGGACCUUAUCCAAAAAGGCUUGCCAAAAAGUAAUUAUUUGGUUAAAUAGUCUUGUAUAAGUAUUCAAGAUCUCCUCAGUAAAUAAUCGAUAUGCAACUAAACACCCGCUCGCCACAAGGAUUGUCACACACUCCUUUCGUUUAAGCGUCGGCGUCCUCAUCUGGCUAAGGGUUAAAUUUCAUUCAAAUUUAAUCACAAGUACCACGAUCGGCCUAUAGUCAGUCUUAAUGAGCUCGUGUUGCAGGACCCCUAGUCUACAUAGGUCAUUGGCCGAGUUUACUUUGAUACUAUUUGUCACAAUGCAGGAUCUUAUCCAAAAAGGCUAGCUAAAAGAUAUUUUUUAAUUUUCUAAGUCCAAUAUAAAUACUCAUGAUCUCCUUAACAAAUUAUCGAUGCGGAACUAAACGCACGCCCGCAUGGAUCUUCACAUUAUUAAAAAAGAAAAGAAAAAUUCAGCUAUCUGUGAACACGAAAAUUAAUAAAAUUCAGCUUAAAGAGACAACCGCUCCAAAAGAGUUGGAAUGCAAUAAUAAAGCUAGAAGAGAGUGCUCUCUCUUUGCCUUCCCCACCACCCGCUCUUGCUCUUUCCAAAACUAAAGCAGCAACCCACAAGAGUGCCUUUCAGGGUUUCGGAAGAAUGUGCAUGGAUCUCUGUCACUUGGAAAUGCACAUUGGCUCUCUUUAACACAUCCAUCAACUCCGAUCAAGCGGAGACGACCUUUUGUUUCCUAUAAAAUUUGCGAAAGUAUAAGUUCUCCAUGCCUCCUUUUCCCUCAACAACCAUGCUUUCCAUAGGUAGGUUUGUAACAUACAAGACUAACAAAUCUUUGAUCCAUCCAUUAAUUAAUGAGGGGCAGAGGGUCUGCAUCCCAACACCUAAGAAAUCCCUGGUCUCUCCUCCAUCCAGAUCAUCCAUUAGAGAGCUGCGGUUUCAUUCGGCGAACUUAUGGUUCGAUGCUGUGAAACCAUUUACGAUGUUUCCUAGAUUGCUCAGUUGGUUUGAAUUGAAUAGUCCAUCAUAUUUGCUAGCAUCUCCAAUCUGAGUAUCUUGGCACUUUAAUGGCCCAGAACUCCCUAUAAAUGGAAAGGUGGAUGUACGGAUCUGUGCGGGCGUGUGUUUAGUUCCACAUCGGUUAUUCGUUGGGUAUAUUUUGGGUACUUAUACAGGAUUAAAGAAACCAAAUAAUACCUUCCAGCUAGUCAUUUUGGGUGAAGUCUUGGGUUGUGACAAAUGGUAUUAGAGUGGACCUGGUCCAUAACCUAUGUGAGUUAUGGGACACUGCAGCAUGGAUCCAUUGG
rnacentral:lncRNA from 1 species